UUCAGCAUACAAUUGUACCACAUCACAAGCCUUGAGAAAAAACAUUUUUUCCACAGAAAGUUUCAGUUACUGAGGCAUGUCUUUAUUGAGGGAAGGAAACACGAAGCUCUUCAUCUCACUGUUUAAGACCCAAACCCAGGAAAAGCAACAUGCUUGAAAACAAAAUGCAUGCUUUUGGAGUUAGAACUUUCUGUGUAAAACACACAGACACACAGACACACACAUUCAGGGGAGGCUCAGGGCACCAUUAAUAAUUACGGUUAAUAUGAUCUCACUUAAACUUGAGAGGGGACGUGUAAGUCAGCUCUUCACAGCUCUUGCAAGUGCAUGACGCAGAGAGAGAGAACGAGAGAGAGUGUGUGAGAGAGGACAUAAAGUGUAUGUGUGUGUGUGUGUGUUGUGUAAUGCAGCUGCUGCGUGAUGAUCAACAUCCACAAGCUUCUUUACCUCGCUAACUGUGGGAGCAGGCGUAAAUAGAUGGCCUCUUCAUUAGCUGAGCUGGAGAUGCUGACCAUCUUGUUUUCUCUCCUGGUUUUUGCCCUCUUCACACUUGGAGGGAUGCUCAAUGAGGAAUGUGGACAGUCAAAUGAGACUAACACAAACCCACAAAACGAUGUGCUGACUGUCUGACUUUGAUGAGGGUUAUGAUUCAGAUACAGAAGAUUCACAGGGGAAAAGCAGCCCUUUGAGCAUGUGACAGUCAAAGCCCCCUCCUGUGUGAACCUGUUGGUUACCGGAAAAAAGGUUGAACUGAUAACCUCUGAACAUAAGUGCAUGUGUACUUUGUUAAAGGAUCUUGCAUUAAUAGCCUCCAGGAUGAGGCAUAGGGGAGUGGCCGACACUACACAUUGUAAAACAAAAAAAAAAGACUGAACAAAGAAACGCCUGCUUUAACAAACAGUGUCAAGUCAGUAUCUCGCGCCUGUGAGAGUGUGAAGACAGAAGGGUUUUAUCUAACCUAGAUCUGAA